UUAAAGCAGUUUGCUGAGUUUGCCAAUGAGACAGAGUCCAAGUGACUCUGUGCAGCUCCCACCCUCACGGUCCACAUUUUCAGAUUCAAGCCUGUGGUGCACAUGAGGGACAUUCACAGAAGCAAUGCCAUGGUGCCUGCUCCACUUAAUUACCAAUGGAUCUGAAAAGGGGAGACACUUGGAUAAUUUCGAGUAGACAUCUGAAAAGAGCUGCAGACUACAUGGACUUUAAUUUGAGCCUUGCCAAUUACAACAUCAGUCAGAUGUGCAACUUUACCAGAUCUUUUACUGAAUAAUAAAGAUGUAUGUUGGGAAAGAAUGGGAACCAGAAAACAGAAAGGAAAAUUCAGGGUGGAGAUGCCCCUUAAGCAGCAAGAAACCUGGGAUGAGGAUUUAGCGGAGAAGUACAGCCUGCAGGAGCAGGCGUGGGAGCCAUUGUAGGAGUGCUAGUUGAAGCCAGAAGCCUGGAUACAGUCUGAUGAUGACGAUGAUGACCAUGACGAGUACUGAGCAGUAGUAACGACUAAUACCAAGCAUAGACGAUGUCCCGGGUGACACAUGACGUUCAGAUGUUUGAUUUGAUGAUUUCCCAAACCCAAACAAGGUAAAUGUCAUUCCU